AACGAACGCUGGCGGCAUGCCUAACACAUGCAAGUCGAACGCCUGUAGCAAUACAGGAGUGGCAGACGGGUGCAUAACACGUGGGAACCUACCCUUGGGUUCGGAAUAACCGCGGGAAACUGCGGCUAAUACCGGAUACGUCCUCUGGGAGAAAGAUUUAUCGCCCUUGGAGGGGCCCGCGUCGGAUUAGCUAGUUGGUGAGGUAACGGCUCACCAAGGCGACGAUCCGUAGCUGAUCUGAGAGGAUGAUCAGCCACACUGGAACUGAGACACGGUCCAGACUCCUACGGGAGGCAGCAGUGGGGAAUAUUGGACAAUGGGGGCAACCCUGAUCCAGCCAUGCCGCGUGAGUGAAGAAGGCCCUCGGGUUGUAAAGCUCUUUUGUCCGGAAAGAAAAGCAAUCGGUUAAUACCCGGUUGUUCUGACGGUACCGGAAGAAUAAGCACCGGCUAACUUCGUG
rnacentral:rRNA from 1 species